CCCUUAGAUGUUCUGGGCCGCACGCGCGCUACAAUGGUCUUCGCAAACGGAUGCAUUCUCGAAGGAGAAUGCCAAUCUUGGAAUCUAUGCCUUGGUCGGGACAGUUGCUUGCAAUUUUUCGACUCGAACCGGGAAUUCCUUGUAAUCGUGAUUCAUCACAUCACGAUGAAUACGUCCCUGCCCUUUGUACACACCGCCCGUCGCUCCUACCGAUCGAAGAGUUAGGUGAAUUGUUUUGAUCGAUAAGAUUUGACUAUGGUCAACUCUCGUUGUGAAAUUCUGUGAAUCUGACUGUUUAGAGGAAGGAAAAGUCGUAACA
rnacentral:rRNA from 1 species